UACGUAGGGGGCAAGCGUUGUCCGGAAUCAUUGGGCGUAAAGAGCGUGUAGGCGGCUUGGUAAGUCCGCUGUGAAAGUCCAGGGCUCAACCCUGGAAAGCCGGUGGAAACUGUCAAGCUAGAGUCCGGAAGAGGAGAGUGGAAUUCCUGGUGUAGCGGUGAAAUGCGCAGAUAUCAGGAAGAACACCCGUGGCGAAGGCGGCUCUCUGGGACGGUACUGACGCUGAGACGCGAAAGCGUGGGGAGCGAACAGG
rnacentral:rRNA from 1 species